GGCGCCAUCGUCUAGUCUGGUCUAGGACAUCGGCUUUUCAAGCCGGUAACCCGGGUUCGAAUCCCGGUGGCGCUA
rfam:Parcubacteria group bacterium RIFCSPLOWO2_01_FTLL_48_18 rifcsplowo2_01_scaffold_998, whole genome shotgun sequence.